rnacentral:lncRNA from 1 species
UGGGAUUGGCAUUAAAAUGUUGAAUUCCUAAAUUGUUACAUACAGAACUACCAGCAUAAGUUAGUUUUCAAGUUUAGAAGUGUCAUCACUUUGCAUUGCACGUGCAUUGUUUUUUUUAAGGGAAAAGCCUCUAAGUAUUUUAUUUCUCAGCCAAAAGAGUUACAUCAUUUAUUACACAAGGAAGAAUAAAAUUGGGUGGAUCUUCAUCCCAUUCAAAUGCAGACUAUGUAUCAUAAGAGUGCUUUGCCAGAUGGUGAGCAACUCGAUUUCCUUCCGGCGGACUGUGUUUGAAAAACACUCAGUUGAUCAUCUUUGCUUUUGCCAAACAAUAAGCUAAGGUCGCAGUAUAAGGACCAAAAAUUUCCAGCUCCCUAUUACACGCAUUGAUCAACUUCAAAGAAUCGGACUCAUGAGUGAUAUUGAUGUAGCACAACUUUUCAACUAGCUCUAGUCCUUUUAGCAGGGCCAAAACCUUCGCCAAGGAACCAUGUGGGGCCAUUUGAAUAGGGUUGGCUGCCCGCAUUGCACAUGCAUUGUUACUAGUUUUGAAGUAAUAAAAAACACAAAGCAAAUAUUCCGUUCGUUCUCAUCCCACACAUGUACACCAUUUCCAUUUCAUAGUUGUAAAAGUUCAUCAACUAAUGACCUUAGGUACACAUCAAUGUCAUUGUCAGGUUGCCUAGGGCCUUGGAUGAGCAUUGGCAUCAUAAUGAACUUCCGCUUCAUGC